rnacentral:tRNA from 1 species
GUUCAUGUAGCUUAUGAAAAGCAUGACACUGAAGACGUCAAGAUGGAUGCCACAAACACCCAUGAACA